rnacentral:rRNA from 1 species
CCUACGGGGGGCAGCAGUGGGGGGUAUUGCACAAUGGGGGAAACCCUGAUGCAGCGACGCCGCGUGGGUGAAGAAGCGCCUCGGCGCGUAAAGCCCUGUCAGCAGGGAAGAAAAUGACGGUACCUGAAGAAGAAGCCCCGGCUAACUACGUGCCAGCAGCCGCGGUAAUACGUAGGGGGCAAGCGUUAUCCGGAUUUACUGGGUGUAAAGGGGGCGCAGACGGCGAUGCAAGCCAGGAGUGAAAGCCCGGGGCCCAACCCCGGGACUGCUCUUGGAACUGCGUGGCUAGAGUGCAGGCGGGGCAG